UACAUUAGACUGAUGCAAAAAUAAAUCCUCUUUUACAACGCAGAAGUCAUUGUUCAUUAUGAGUUUUGAUAUAUACAAGAAGAAACAAG
ensembl:snoRNA